rnacentral:rRNA from 1 species
CCCCUAGAUGUUCUGGGCCGCACGCGCGCUACACUGAACAGUUCAACAAGUCUUAACCUUGGCCGAUAGGUCUGGGUAAUCUUUGAACGCUGUUCGUGAUUGGGAUAGACCUUUGCAAUUAUGGGUCUUCAACGAGGAAUUCCUAGUAAACGCAAGUCAUCAGCUUGCAUUGAUUACGUCCCUGCCCUUUGUACACACCGCCCGUCGCACCUACCGAUUGAACGAUUCGGUGAAAACUCCGGACUGUGGUUGCUCACCCUUUAUUGGGAGUGCUUCCGUGGGAAGUUGUGUGAACCUCAUCGUUUAGAGGAAGGUGAAGUCGUAACA